UACGUAGGUGGCGAGCGUUGUCCGGAAUUACUGGGCGUAAAGGGCGUGUAGGCGGGAAUUUAAGUCGGAUGUGAAAACCCCGGGCUUAACUUGGGGACUGCAUUUGAUACUGGAUUUCUUGAGGACAGGAGAGGAAAGCGGAAUUCCUAGUGUAGCGGUGAAAUGCAUAGAUAUCACGAGGAACUCCGAUUGCGAAGGCAGCUUACUAAGCUACUACUGACGCUCAGGCACGAAGGCGUGGGGAUCAAACAGGAUUAGAUACCCCGGUAGUCCCUGAG
rnacentral:rRNA from 1 species